rnacentral:rRNA from 1 species
GGAUCAAUAUGUUGGUCGUGCCUUGGUACGUACUAAUUUGUUAGUUUCUUCCUUCUGACGAACCAUGAUGUCAUUAAUUUGGUGUCUUGGGGAAUCAGGACUGUUACUUUGAGAAAAUUAGAGUGUUUAAAGCAGGCUCCCGCUUGAAUACAUUAGCAUGGAAUAAUGAAAUAGGACGUUUGAUUCUAUUUUGUUGGUUUCUAGGAUUGACGUA